rnacentral:rRNA from 1 species
GAUGAACGCUGGCGGCGUGCUUAACACAUGCAAGUCGAACGAAGCACUUAACUUUGAUUCUUUCGGGAUGAAGAGUUCUGUGACUGAGCGGCGGACGGGUGAGUAACGCGUGGGUAACCUGCCUCAUACAGGGGGAUAACAGUUAGAAAUGGCUGCUAAUACCGCAUAAGACCACAGCACCGCAUGGUGCAGGGGGUAAAAACUCCGGUGGUAUGAGAUGGACCCGCGUCUGAUUAGCUUGUUGGUGAGGUAACGGCCCACCAAGGCGACGAUCAGUAGCCGGCCUGAGAGGGUGAACGGGCCACAUUGGGACUGAGACACGGCCCAAAUCCUACGGGAGGCAGCAGUGGGAAUAUGCANAUGGGGAAACCCUGAUGCAGCGACGCCGCGUGGAGGAAG